rnacentral:rRNA from 1 species
CACGUAGGCGGACUAUUAAGUCAGGGGUGAAAUCCCGGGGCUCAACCCCGGAACUGCCUUUGAUACUGGUAGUCUCGAGUCCGGAAGAGGUGAGUGGAAUUCCGAGUGUAGAGGUGAAAUUCGUAGAUAUUCGGAGGAACACCAGUGGCGAAGGCGGCUCACUGGUCCGGUACUGACGCUGAGGUGCGAAAGCGUGGGGAGCAAACA